rnacentral:lncRNA from 1 species
CAUAGCGUUAAGCUACUAGUGACCUUCUGAUAAGACAUCAGAAGGAGGAGCAUCUGCUUCUGGACCGUGGUUGACCUUAGUGCAAAGCCACUGUGUUGGUGAUGGAUGGAACGUAUAAAGGAGUGGAAAACACUGGCUGAAGGAAGUUCACAGACAGAAGCCAGGAGCUGUGGAUUGGAAGGCAGAUGCCUCAGCUUCAAGCACAGGCUGGAAUACUGACUUGCAGCGUCAUUGUGGGCUUCACCCUCUUGGAACAGCUGUGCCACCAGCUGGGUGGAUGAAAAGCCACAAGGAGAAAAAGCAGAUCACGGAGUCAAAAGCCCCAGUCAACUGUCAGACACAGAGAGGAAGCUGCAGAGAAUCUUCAGGAAAUUGAGGAAAACUGUGCCAGUGAGUAGAGUAUGAUGGUGGGAAGACAAAUGAAGGAAGAUGUAUUUAAAGCGCUACCCGACUCACUUCAAAUAGGUGAAGAAGUUCCAGCUCAAGGAGAUGGAGGGUAUUUGUUUUAAGAAGUGCAAGAAGUUGAAGAGAAGAUAAAUUACCAUGAAGAAGAAAAGGCACCUUUUAUCCUCUUUUUUUGAUCUUCAGAUCAAGAGGAGUCCUGCCUGAUGAAUCUUACCUGCCCCUGGAUCUGAUUUAGACUCAAAGCAUGAAUGGCACCAGGAGUGAUUCUGCAGUACUUUUAAGUGGUGAGCCAUGGGAUGUUCCCCUGCAGACAUGUCUCUCCAUGGCAGCAAGUCCACAAGGAUGGCUGCAGGCUGCAGAAACCAGAAGGAGGGAACAGAAGAGGAAGAACCAUUCGGAAUGAAAUGCAGUUGGAAGGAGAAUGGUCAUGGCUCACAUCUUAUUAGCUUUGAUAUGACCAAAGGCUUAAAACAAAAUACUAAAGUCUUUGAAUAUUUGAGAAUCAAUGAUUAAAAAUGAGAGCAAACCAGCCGGUAAAUGAUAAAUA